AACGCACAUUGCGCCCUUUGGUAUUCCGAAGGGCAUGCCUGUUCGAGCGUCAUUAUCACCCCUCAAGCCCAGUGCUUGGUGUUGGACGGUCGGUCGCGCACUGCGACCCCGCCUAAAGACAAUGACGGCGGCCUGUGGUUCCCCCGGUACACUGAGCUUUUUGGAGCAUGUAUCGGACGAGGGCGCCCGGGUCACGGUCCUCUCCCCCCCGCGGGGAAAUAUUAUCAAGGUUGACCUCGGAUCAGGUAGGAAUACGCGCUGAACUUAA
rnacentral:misc_RNA from 1 species